rnacentral:rRNA from 1 species
AGAGGUGGCAAGCGUUGUUCGGAAUUACUGGGCGUAAAGGGCGCGUAGGCGGCCAUCUAAGUCAGACGUGAAAUCCCCCGGCUUAACCUGGGAACUGCGUCUGAUACUGGACGGCUUGAGUAUGGGAGAGGGAUGUAGAAUUCCAGGUGUAGCGGUGAAAUGCGUAGAUAUCUGGAGGAAUACCGGUGGCGAAGGCGGCAUCCUGGACCAUUACUGACGCUGAGGCGCGAAAGCUAGGGGAGCAAACGGG